ensembl:lncRNA
AUGUCUAUGCAAUUUCAAGAUGAUACAAAUGGUAUAUCUCCUUCUGAGGCUGAAAUUAGGAAUGAAAGGCCCCAAAGGAUAAAGCACCCUUCAGCCAAGAUGCUAGCCCAUCUAAUAGAUGAAAAGGAGCUCCUCCAUGUGAGGUUAGGUUCGGCAUGGGAGCGAAUUGUAACAUUAAUGGACAGAAUUGAGAGCUUGGGUAUUACAAGGGUGCCAUCCAUAUUACAGACAGACCUUGAAGAGACCUUCGGUAUUUGGAGGGGUUUGGUGUCUAAGAUAGUCCAGGUCCUCGAGCGCAUUAACGCCAAGGAUUCAGAGUUAGAAAUAGUGAGUGUCUUAGCUGACACUAAUGAGAAAGAAAAUAAGGUGAGGGCAAUUCUAGAUGCCUUGGAAUUUAGUUCUCCAUCUGUUAAUCUAAGGUCUGAGCCAAAAGGAAAUCAGUCUUCCUUAUGCAGCCAUGAGACCAAUCUUUUAAAAUCACCUGCUGUGGCACUUAGUCUUAAGUCCAACCGCUCUAGCCAGGUAUCUAAGCUAAGGGAGCGUGCAUCGUCUAAACACAGCCACUCUAGCAAGUCUUCUGCUGCUGGGAGUGCCAUCUCUUCCCUAGCUGCCUUGCACAUUAAGGAGGCUGCACGUCUGGAGCUACAGAGCAAGGUUGCGGAGGCGGAAGCUGAUGCAAAAGCAGCUGACCACACUUUCCACCUUAAAGAGGAGGAACAGCGACUCCAAAUAGAACAGGCCCAAAGGCAAUGUGAAAUAGAAAUGCUUAGAAUAAGGAUGGAUGCUACUGCCAAAAAGGUAAAAGCUGAGACUUUGGCCAAGGUCCUAAGUGGGCAACUCACAGAAGAAAAUGUAAGUCAGUUGCCGAAGCAGGACCCUUCUUCCAAGGUGCUUGUGCAUCUUAAUAGCUUAAACAGCCAGCUUUCUGACGAGGAACAUGAAGACUUCUCCGUUCGGUCAGAACAGGGCCCUAAAGUUGCCUUCGGGCUGCCGGAAGUUCAAAGCGUCAUAGCGGGGAGCUCCUCUUUGCUCAGUUUGCCUGUGCCUCCUACUAAGAUUCCCGAGCAGUCAGCCAAACCAUCAAAGCCUAUCACCAAUUGGGCCCUACAAGCAAGUCCAAAAGGAACCAUCUGUCCGUCUACAGACGAUGCCUUCCCUCCAAAGGGUCAAAGGUCGACACCAGGAGCACGGGAUUUCUCCCUGCAGCAGCCAACGCCACAUAAGACACCGUCAACACCAGAAUCCCAACUCGUCUCGAUCCUUAGAAGUCCCAAAAGAGACCUCAAGGACAAGGGAGUCGAAAAGUUUUCAGACAAGCCUGAAGAGUUCCUUCUCUGGAAGGUUACCUUCAAGAGGGCAAUUAGAGACUUAAAGUUGUUGCCUGAAGAAGAGCUGACCCUGCUAGGCGCCUGGUUGGGUCCAGCAUCAUCUUCUCAAGUUAAGAGAAUAUAUUCAGCCCAUGUAGCUGAUCCCGACAAAGCCUUGGAAAAGGCCUGGGACAGAUUACAUCAGCGGUAUGGAGCUAGCACGGAGAUUGAAGCAUCUCUAAUGGACAAGCUGCAAAGGUUCCCAACCUUAAAGCUCAAGGACUGCAAGCUCUUGUGGGACCUCAGUGAUCUUCUUGCAGAGUUAGAGUCGGCCAAGGAGAAUCCAGAGUUGCCUGGACUGCAGUGCCUCGAUCAGCAUCUGUCCCAGCGGCAGAUUCUGGACAAACUUCCCUUUGCCCUGCAGGAAGACUGGGGGAAACAGGUUUUUAACUACAAGGAGGCCCAUUCUCAGGCGUACCCACCGUUUUCCCAUCUGGUCCAGUUCAUCACCAGAGCGGCCAGGGAAAGGAAUGAUCCACAGACGGGCCUGCCCACCUUAUAUCAAGGGAUCCAUACAGGGAAGGCGCCUGAAGUGGACAAGAAACCACCUAGAGAGGCCAAUAGACCUGUCAGCGUAAAGGCAGUCGAAACUCAACACAAGACUGACAAAACCAGGUCAGAAGUAAAGGAGGUGCUCUGCCCCAUUCACCAAAAGCCUCACAGUUUGGCCAACUGCCGGGAAUUUGGCAAGAAGCCUUAUAAAGAAAGACAACAGAUUGUACAGAAGCUGGGCAUAUGUUUUAGGUGCUGUGGAGCAACUCCUCACUUUGCUUCCAACUGCAAAGAGGACGUCAAAUGCGCAAGGUGUAACAGCCUUAAGCAUUGCACCGCGAUGCACAACUCUGACGCUGUCUCCCGCGCCAAAGGGGACACGUCUUCCAAAGAAGGGUCAUCUACUGAAGCCACCAACAUGCAGACCGCGUCACGGAUGCAGGAGGAUGCUCCAUCGGUCGCCUGUACUGAACUAUGCUCUGACGUGCACCAGUUCAGAGUCUGCCAUCCCAUCUGCCUAGCAGAUGUAUAUCCAGCCAGAAGACCUUGGCUUAAAAAGAGACUUUACGUGGCUUUGGAUUCACAAAGCGACGCCUCCCUGGCGACUCCAGAGUUUUUCCAACUGUUUGACAUAAAAACCCAGACGGUCGACUACACCAUGUCCACCUGUGUAGGGAAGAAGAAGUUGCAGGGUCGCAUAGCAUCCGGCUUUGUUGUUUCCUCUUGCGACCAGAAGAGACAGUUCAAGUUGCCAGACCUGAUUGAGUGUUCCUCCAUCCCUCGGAACAAAAAACAAAUUGUAACUAGAGAAGUUGUGGAGGCUCAUCCACAUUUGCGACGAUUAAAGAAUGCCAUACCUGCUUUCCGUCCAGAUGUGGACAUUGCCCUUCUGCUUGGUGCGGACUGUCCGAACUUGUUCUAUGUGAACGACCAAGUUAAAGGACCUCCAGGUGCACCUAUCGCACAACAAUUGCCAUUAGGCUGGACAGUCAUAGGCCCAGUGUGCAUAAACAAGAUGCACCCACCAUCGUCGUUGGACUCCAAUCAAGCACAGGUGCUUAAAGGUGGACGUCCUACACUUGUGCGCAGUUGCCUAAGUCACAUCUCAGUCUACUGCCAAGGAAUAACUCCAGAGUAUUCCUCCACCUUCAAAGUCUCUGAGAGAGACGAAGCCAUAGCGCUCUCGAAAGAUGAGCAAAGGUUCUUGGACAGUAUGAAUGCUCAAGUCUCACGAAGUACAGAGGGAAAUUGGGUAGCUCCUUUGCCCUUUAAGUCAGAUAAGCCCACUUCGCCAAACAAUAGACACAUGGCAGGGAAAAGACUCUGGUCCCUAAAGAAAAGAAUCCAUCAUCAGGGUAGAACUCUAACUGAGGCAGCCCUUAGAAACGAAGGUCUGUGGGUAGUUAAUGCCAAAAGGUUGGUCAACAGUUGUAUUUUCAAAUGUGUUAAAUGCAGGUGCCUUAGGCGAAACUGUCAAAAUCGGUUAAUAGCAGAACUACCUCAGGAUAGGACUUUGACAGACCCACCCUUUUCCCAUGUGGGAAUCGAUGUGUUUGGUCCUUGGGAGGUUGUCACUAGGAAAACCAGGGGUGGUGUUGUAAAUAACAAGAGGUGGGCAGUUUUGUUUACUUGUUCAGUAAUACGAGCUGUCCAUAUAGAAGUCAUAGAAGGGAUGGACACUUCAUCAUUUUUAAACGCAUUAAAAAGGUUCAUAGCCCUCAGAGGGCCAAUUAAGUCAAUUCGGUCGGACUGUGGCACCAAUUUUGUAGGUGCGACCAAAGAACUCAAUUGUGUGUCUAGGUUUGGGAGAGACCCAAAGGUUCAGAACUUUACGAAUACUGAACAAAUUAUGUGGACUUUCAAUGUUCCUCACGCCUCCCACAUGGGUGGUGUUUGGGAGAGGAUGAUUGGUAUUAGUUGCAAAAUCCUUAAUGCCAUGCUUUUGAGUCAUAGGUCAUUGACGCAUGAUGUUUUGGUGACACUUAUGGCGGAAGUUACCGCAAUUAUCAACAACCGGCCGCUGGUUCCCCUUACCAGUGACCCUGAGAACUUACAACCACUGACUCCUGCACUUAUUUUGACACAAAAGGUGCCAGGAUGGAAGGACAUCAUGUUGCCAGUUCCGGACGGAACUCACCGUGCCCUGUGGAAACAGGUGCAGUCCUUGGCCAACCACUUUUGGAAAAGGUGGAAAGCUGAGUACUUAAGCCAGCUUCAAGCUAGAAGAAUCUGGCAAAGCCCACAGGACAACAUUGAGGUUAACAACGUUGUGUUGUUAAAGGACAAAGACUUGCCCCGCCAUGCAUGGCCCAUGGGCAUUGUAUUAAAGACCUUUCCUUGCCCGGACGGUAAGGUCAGGAAAGUUCAAUUAAAGACUUGCAACAGAGGCAAAGUGUCCAUUUUGGACAGACCAAUUAGUGACCUCGUGUUGCUUAUUGGAGAUGUUUAA